rnacentral:lncRNA from 1 species
GAACAUCCAAAGAACAUAGUCAGGUUCCCAAAAUUGGGUGUGUAACUGAAUAGGUAACUAAUUGUGGUAUUCAUGAACGCAGAGGGGCAAGUAUUGUUGUACAAGUCCAAUCUGGUUAGCCUCAAAACUUGGUUGUCGUGAUCUAUAAUCAAGACUCGAAAUGUUUGUGACAGGAUCUUUAAUGUAGGGAAUUGGCCUUGGCACUCGAGUUUGAAUUCUGGGAGACCACAGUAGUAUGGUUGAGGAUCACCCCAGAAGGGAUAGCUAAUAUUUUUCAUGCCCCCACACUGAAACUGGUGACCACACUGUAUGUAUCGUGCAUCAUCUGCUGAAAAA